UAGAUUAAGUCCGUUGUAUCGGUAUUUAGCUGUUAAUUAAAAGGUCGUAGGAUAAAAGCCUGCUAAUCUAG
rnacentral:tRNA from 1 species